GCUAGAUCAAGCCCCACCUUAGUGACUUUAAAAGUAGCCGAGCGCUAUGAGAUUUGUUAAAAUCUCGUGCUGCGUAUUGUUUUGAGGAGAAGACGACGUGCGAUUCUACGUAAAGUGUAAAGUGGAAGUUGUGAGAAAGUGUGGAAAGAAAGUGAUGCCCUGCAAACUGCAGUCUGACCUUCAGAAAAGCAAGAACAAGAAUAUGAAGAAGAAACAGAAAGAAUCAAAAUCCAAAGGCUCAAGAGAUACAAAUACACUGAAACCUGUUAGAUGCAAAAGCAAGGAACAUCUGGAACCAAAUUUCUCUCAUGAUCCAGUCAGAGCUGUAGAAUCUCGUUCUGAUGUACCAGAAGGUCCAGGAUGAGAAAACAACCGGACCUUUAUCUACAGUAUCUGACGGGGGGAUCAGUCACCAGCUUGCCAAAUUUCUACAUACAGUUAUGUUUCCUCCAUGCCUCCCAUUCAGAGAUGUGCUUGUGUUUCACAUACUGGAUGUUCACUGACAGUUCUCCAUCAGUUCUAACAACUGUUUUAUUUAUUUGUAUGAAAUACACACAGGUGGCACAGACAGUGUCACUAAUCAAUCCAAAUGGUGAAUAACUGGCACUGCUAAAUGAGCAUUACUUUUUGACCAGACAGUAGAUGGACUUUAUUAUAUAAAGAGGAGCCAUGAGGCCCAGAAGCCAAAGAUUAGUGUUGAAUUUACAUUAAAGAACCACCUCCUGAACCAGAACCUUCUGAGACCAGUGUUCCUCAAAACCCCUAUUUUACUCUGAACUAAGUUCAUGUUAGAAAGUAUUCACUAUAGAAUGAGGUUAUGAUAUAAAAAUUUAAACCUGUCAAAAUAUAAUUAUAACAGUCAUAGUAGCCACGACAACAUUCAUUGUCUAAAACAAAUACAUGCUGAAUGCAGUAGGAUGUAUAAAGUGAAUAUGUGCUAUAUGAUUAAAAAUGAUUGUUAAUGGCAUGUUAAUGUGUGCAUAUAAUGUCACAUAGGUUAACAAUAAAA